rnacentral:rRNA from 1 species
UAGGGAAUCUUCCGCAAUGGACGCAAGUCUGACGGAGCAACGCCGCGUGAGUGAUGAAGGUUUUCGGAUCGUAAAGCUCUGUUGCCAGGGAAGAAUGCUUGGGAGAGUAACUGCUCUCAAGGUGACGGUACCUGAGAAGAAAGCCCCGGCUAACUACGUGCCAGCAGCCGCGGUAAUACGUAGGGGGCAAGCGUUGUCCGGAAUUAUUGGGCGUAAAGCGCGCGCAGGCGGUGAUUUAAGUUUGGUGUUUAAUCCCGGGGCUCAACCCCGGGUCGCACUGAAAACUGGGUCACUUGAGUGCGGGAGAGGAAAGUGGAAUUCCACGUGUAGCGGUGAAAUGCGUAGAGAUGUGGAGGAACACCAGUGGCGAAGGCGACUUUCUGGACCGUAACUGACGCUGAGGCGCGAAAGCGUGGGGAGCAAACAGG